rnacentral:lncRNA from 1 species
GGGACUCUAAUUCUUUUGAAGAGCCGAACUCUCUUCGGCAUUCGAUGCCUCUGCCUUACCUUUUUCUCAACAAAAGGAAAGAGUGAGAGCCUCGUAUAGAUGACUCCGGUAGGCGAGGACUCAAUUGCUUGGGUGCAUCGAUCAAAGUUAUGAUCUAGGGGCGCUAAAAGCAGAGAUUCGGGCUUUUUCCAGUCUUAUUCCUACCCUCUCCGCUGGGAAAUCCCUCUGCGGCCAGACUAUAGCUUGGUCUUUGUACUAGUUCUGCUUUCACAUGCUCUUUAACUUGCCUUCCGCAGGUUUCGAAGGAUACGUGCCAUUUUCCUUCACUCGAAAGAAGAGUCAGUGCUCUCCCUUUCAUUUCCAAUGAAAGAAAAAAGAAAUGAACAUCCCGAAGUCGAGAAGGAUAGGCAGAUUAAAAAAGAAAAGGAAGAAAUGAUGAAUACACAAAUUUGAACCAUUAACUAUUGGCCGCUGACUGCGAAUUCAUGAACGAGCCUUGAAUUUGAAUCUCAAAUUGUGUUUUCCUAAUGACAUAAGAAAAAAAAUUGAUACAUAACUAAUCAGUGUUUAUUCAGUAUUUUUUCUUUUCAAUAAAAAAUCCUUCUCUAUUUGAAUUAUAACAAUAUAUGAGUAUAUGUAAACCCCAGAACAGAAAUUGUUACACAGAUAGGAUAUCUAAUUGGUUAUUUUAUUUAUAUAUGUUGCCUAUAGGGAAUUCUCAGGAAAUUUUCGUCCGUAGUAGGUAAACUUGAAGGGGAAAGAGACAUCACUUUGGGCUUUGUUGAUUUA